rnacentral:rRNA from 1 species
UCGUUGGUGACCAGCGGAGGGAUCAUUACCGAGUUUUCAACUCCCUAACCCUUCUGUGAACCUACCUAUCGUUGCUUCGGCGGACUCGCCCCAGCCCGGACGCGGACUGGACCAGCGGCCCGCCGGGGACCUCAAACUCUUGUAUUCCAGCAUCUUCUGAAUACGCCGCAGGGCAAAACAAAUGAAUCAAAACUUUCAACAACGGAUCUCUUGGCUCUGGCAUCGAUGAAGAACGCAGCGAAAUGCGAUAAGUAAUGUGAAUUGCAGAAUCCAGUGAAUCAUCGAAUCUUUGAACGCACAUUGCGCCCGCCAGCAUUCUGGCGGGCAUGCCUGUUCGAGCGUCAUUUCAACCCUCGACCUCCCCUGGGGGAGGUCGGCGUUGGGGACCGGCAGCACACCGCCGGCCCUGAAAUGGAGUGGCGGCCCGUCCGCGGCGACCUCUGCGUAGUAAUACAGCUCGCACCGGAACCCCGACGCGGCCACGCCGUAAAACACCCAACUUCUGAACGUUGACCUCGAAUCAGGUAGGACUACCCGCUGAACUUAAGCAUU